CCUUAGUGGCGCACGGGUGCGUAACGCGUGGGAAUCUGCCCCUUGGUUCGGAAUAACAGUUAGAAAUGACUGCUAAUACCGGAUGAUGACGUAAGUCCAAAGAUUUAUCGCCGAGGGAUGAGCCCGCGUAGGAUUAGCUAGUUGGUGUGGUAAGAGCGCACCAAGGCGACGAUCCUUAGCUGGUCUGAGAGGAUGAUCAGCCACACUGGGACUGAGACACGGCCCAGACUCCUACGGGAGGCAGCAGUGGGGAAUAUUGGACAAUGGGCGAAAGCCUGAUCCAGCAAUGCCGCGUGAGUGAUGAAGGCCUUAGGGUUGUAAAGCUCUUUUACCCGGGAUGAUAAUGACAGUACCGGGAGAAUAAGCUCCGGCUAACUCCGUGCCAGCAGCCGCGGUAAUACGGAGGGAGCUAGCGUUAUUCGGAAUUACUGGGCGUAAAGCGCACGUAGGCGGCUUUGUAAGUAAGAGGUGAAAGCCCAGAGCUCAACUCUGGAAUUGCCUUUUAGACUGCAUCGCUUGAAUCAUGGAGAGGUCAGUGGAAUUCCGAGUGUAGAGGUGAAAUUCGUAGAUAUUCGGAAGAACACCAGUGGCGAAGGCGGCUGACUGGACAUGUAUUGACGCUGAGGUGCGAAAGCGUGGGGAGCAAACAGG
rnacentral:rRNA from 1 species